GAUGAACGCUGGCGGCGUGCCUAAUACAUGCAAGUCGAGCGAACGGACGAGAAGCUUGCUUCUCUGAUGUUAGCGGCGGACGGGUGAGUAACACGUGGAUAACCUACCUAUAAGACUGGGAUAACUUCGGGAAACCGGAGCUAAUACCGGAUAAUAUUCUGAACCGCAUGGUUCAAAAGUGAAAGACGGUCUUGCUGUCACUUAUAGAUGGAUCCGCGCUGCAUUAGCUAGUUGGUAAGGUAACGGCUUACCAAGGCAACGAUGCAUAGCCGACCUGAGAGGGUGAUCGGCCACACUGGAACUGAGACACGGUCCAGACUCCUACGGGAGGCAGCAGUAGGGAAUUUUACGCAAUGGGCGAAAGCCUGACGGAGCAACGCCGCGUGAGUGAUGAAGGUCUUCGGAUCGUAAAACUCUGUUAUUAGGGAAGAACAUAUGUGUAAGUAACUGUGCACAUCUUGACGGUACCUAAUCAGAAAGCCACGGCUAACUACGUG
rnacentral:rRNA from 1 species